rnacentral:rRNA from 1 species
UACAGAGGGUGCAAGCGUUGCUCGGAUUUACUGGGCGUAAAGCGUACGCAGACGGUGAGAAAGGUCGGAUGUGAAAGCCCCGGGCUCAACCCGGGAACUGCAUCCGAAACCAUCUCGCUAGAGUAUGGGAGAGGGAAGCGGAAUUCCUGGUGUAGAGGUGAAAUGCGUAGAGUAUCCGGAGGAACACCGGUGGCGAAGGCGGCUCCUGGACCGACACUGACGCUGAGGCGCGAAAGCUAGGGGAGCAAACGGG